UACAGAGGGUGCAAGCGUUAAUCGGAAUUACUGGGCGUAAAGCGCGCGUAGGUGGUUUGUUAAGUUGAAUGUGAAAACCCCAGGCUCAACCUGGGGACGCCACCCGAUACUGCUAUAGCUAGAGUCCAGUAGGGGAGUGUGGAAUUCCCAGUGUAGCGGUGAAAUGCGCAGAUAUUGGGAGGAACACCAGCGGCGAAGGCGGCACUCUGGGCUGGUACUGACGCUGAGGAGCGAAAGCGUGGGUAGCGAACAGG
rnacentral:rRNA from 1 species